GUUUUAAUAGUUUAACAAAAACAUUGGUCUUGUAAAUCAAAAUUAAAUUAUAUUUUUAAAACU
rnacentral:tRNA from 1 species